AGCGAACGCUGGCGGCAGGCCUAACACAUGCAAGUCGAACGAAGUCUUCGGACUUAGUGGCGGACGGGUGAGUAACACGUGGGAACGUGCCUUUAGGUUCGGAAUAACUCAGGGAAACUUGUGCUAAUACCGAAUGUGCCCUUCGGGGGAAAGAUUUAUCGCCUUUAGAGCGGCCCGCGUCUGAUUAGCUAGUUGGUGAGGUAAGGGCUCACCAAGGCGACGAUCAGUAGCUGGUCUGAGAGGAUGAUCAGCCACAUUGGGACUGAGACACGGCCCAAACUCCUACGGGAGGCAGCAGUGGGGAAUUUUGCGCAAUGGGCGAAAGCCUGACGCAGCCAUGCCGCGUGAAUGAUGAAGGUCUUAGGAUUGUAAAAUUCUUUCACCGGGGACGAUAAUGACGGUACCCGGAGAAGAAGCCCCGGCUAACUUCGUGCCAGCCGCCGCCGUAA
rnacentral:rRNA from 1 species